rnacentral:rRNA from 1 species
CGGCGUGGAUAAGACAUGCAAGUCGAACGAGAGAAUUGCUAGCUUGCUAAUAAUUCUCUAGUGGCGCACGGGUGAGUAACACGUGAGUAACCUGCCCCCGAGAGCGGGAUAGCCCUGGGAAACUGGGAUUAAUACCGCAUAGUAUCGAAAGAUUAAAGCAGCAAUGCGCUUGGGGAUGGGCUCGCGGCCUAUUAGUUAGUUGGUGAGGUAACGGCUCACCAAGGCGAUGACGGGUAGCCGGUCUGAGAGGAUGUCCGGCCACACUGGAACUGAGACACGGUCCAGACACCUACGGGUGGCAGCAGUCGAGAAUCAUUCACAAUGGGGGAAACCCUGAUGGUGCGACGCCGCGUGGGGGAAUGAAGGUCUUCGGAUUGUAAACCCCUGUCAUGUGGGAGCAAAUUAAAGAGAUAGUACCACAAGAGGAAGAGACGGCUAACUCUGUGCCAGCAGCCGCGGUAAUACAGAGGUCUCAAGCGUUGUUCGGAAUCACUGGGCGUAAAGCGUGCGUAGGCUGUUUCGUAAGUCGUGUGUGAAAGGCGCGGGCUCAACCCGCGGACGGCACAUGAUACUGCGAGACUAGAGUAAUGGAGGGGGAACCGGAAUUCUCGGUGUAGCAGUGAAAUGCGUAGAUAUCGAGAGGAACACUCGUGGCGAAGGCGGGUUCCUGGACAUUAACUGACGCUGAGGCACGAAGGCCAGGGGAGCGAAAGGGAUUAGAUACCCCUGUAGUCCUGGCAGUAAACGGUGCACGCUUGGUGUGCGGGGAAUCGACCCCCUGCGUGCCGGAGCUAACGCGUUAAGCGUGCCGCCUGGGGAGUACGGUCGCAAGAUUAAAACUCAAAGAAAUUGACGGGGACCCGCACAAGCGGUGGAGUAUGUGGCUUAAUUCGAUGCAACGCGAAGAACCUUACCUGGGCUUGACAUGUAAUGAACGACAUGUGAAAGCAUGCGACUCUUCGGAGGCGUUACACAGGUGCUGCAUGGCCGUCGUCAGCUCGUGUCGUGAGAUGUUUGGUUAAGUCCAGCAACGAGCGCAACCCCUGUUGCCAGUUACCAGCACGUGAAGGUGGGGACUCUGGCGAGACUGCCCAGAUCAACUGGGAGGAAGGUGGGGACGACGUCAGGUCAGUAUGGCCCUUAUGCCCAGGGCUGCACACGUACUACAAUGCCCAGUACAGAGGGGGCCGAAGCCGCGAGGCGGAGGAAAUCCUGAAAACUGGGCCCAGUUCGGACUGUAGGCUGCAACCCGCCUACACGAAGCCGGAAUCGCUAGUAAUGGCGCAUCAGCUACGGCGCCGUGAAUACGUUCCCGGGUCUUGUACACACCGCCCGUCACAUCAUGGAAGCCGGUCGCACCCGAAGUAUCUGAAGCCAACCGCAAGGAGGCAGGGUCCUAAGGUGAGACUGGUAACUGGGAUGAA